UACGGAGGGUGCGAGCGUUGUUCGGAAUUAUUGGGCGUAAAGCGCGUGCAGGCGGUUUGUCAGGUCCGAUGUGAAAGCCCCGGGCCUAACCCGGGAAGUGCAUUGGAAACCGGCAGACUUGAAUUCGGGAGAGGAGAGCGGAAUUCCUGGAGUAGGGGUGAAAUCCGUAGAUAUCAGGAAGAACACCGGUGGCGAAGGCGGCUCUCUGGACCGACAUUGACGCUGAGACGCGAAAGCGUGGGUAGCAAACAGGAUUAGAUACCCUGGUAGUCCACGCCCUAAACGAUGAGUACUAGGUGUUGCGGGUAUUGACCCCUGCAGUGCCGCAGCUAACGCAUUAAGUACUCCGCCUGGGAAGUACGGUCGCAAGACUAAA
rnacentral:rRNA from 1 species